GAGGUCAAGGCCAGUCUAUCACUAUUUCACAGACCCACAGGGCAUAUAAUACUGCGCCCCCAAGAGAUUUGUUUAAAUAAUGGAAGAGGGAAAAAAAUGAACUUCCUUCCUCAUCAUUGUUUUGGAAAGUAAAAUAAAUCAAAUUAUGUGAAUUAUUCAAAACAGUUUUGUAUGCUUAUGAGGGAUAGAAUCUUGUCCUCAUUUCAUGGAAAAAGAGACUGAAACAUAGAGAUGGGACACCAAGUCUGCUCCUGCCUCAGGCCCUUUGCAACUUGCUGCUCUUCUGUCCAGGAGCCUUUUUCCCUAGACUUCUGCACAGCCUGCUCAAUCAUCUACACGUCUUCUCUCAAGUGCUGCCUUGUAGUGAGCCCUCUCUGAACACCAUGUUUACAUCUGUGGUCAUGUGACACUACCCCCACCCAGGGAUUCCAAACUGGAUUCCAUUUUCUUUUACUACCUUCAUUUCAUAGGAAAUGCUUUCUUGAUUUAUACUACUUAUUAUUACC